CGGACCGGCGCACGGGUGAGUAACACGUAUCCAACCUGCCGUCUACUCUUGGCCAGCCUUCUGAAAGGAAGAUUAAUCCAGGAUGGGAUCAUGAGUUCACAUGUCCGCAUGAUUAAAGGUAUUUUCCGGUAGACGAUGGGGAUGCGUUCCAUUAGAUAGUAGGCGGGGUAACGGCCCACCUAGUCAACGACGGAUAGGGGUUCUGAGAGGAAGGUCCCCCACAUUGGAACUGAGACACGGUCCAA
rnacentral:rRNA from 1 species